AACGCGAAGAACCUUACCGAUCUUGACAUAUCUAGAAUCCUGUAGAGAUGCGGGAGUGCCUUCGGGAUUAGAAUACAGGUGGUGCAUGGCUGUCGUCAGCUCGUGUCGUGAGAUGUUGGGUUAAGUCCCCAACGAGCGCAACCCUUGUCCUUACUUACCACCGGGUUAAGCCGGGAACUCUAAGGAUACUGCCAGUGACAAACUGGAGGAAGGGGGGGACGACCUCAAGUCAUCAUGGCCCUUACGACCAGGGCUACACACGUGCUACAAUGGUAGGUACAGAGGGCAGCUACACAGCGAUGUGAGGCAAAUCUCAAAAAGCCUAUCUAGUCCAGAUUGCAUUCCCAACUCGACUCCAGGAAGUAGGAAUCGCUAAUAAUCGCGGAUCAGAAUGCCGCGGUGAAUACGUUCCCGGGUCUUGUACACACCG
rnacentral:rRNA from 1 species